UACGUAGGGGGCAAACGUUGUCCGGAAUUAUUGGGCGUAAAGCGCAUGUAGGCGGUCUUGUAAGUCAAAUGUCAAAUCCCCGGGCUUAACCCGGGUCCGCGUUUGAUACUGCAGGGCUUGAGAGAUGUAGAGGAAAGCGGAACUUCAGGUGUAGCGGUGAAAUGCGUAGAUAUCUGAAGGAACACCAGUGGCGAAGGCGGCUUUCUGGACAUUUUCUGACGCUGAGAUGCGAAAGCAAGGGGAGC
rnacentral:rRNA from 1 species